rnacentral:rRNA from 1 species
GUGAGGAAUAUUGCGCAAUGGAGGCAACUCUGACGCAGCCAUGCCGCGUGCAGGAAGAAGGCGCUACGCGUUGUAAACUGCUUUUAUCUGGGAAGAAAAAGGCCAUGCGUGGCAAAUUGCCGGUACCAGAUGAAUAAGCACCGACUAACUCCGUGCCAGCAGCCGCGGUAAUACGGAGGGUGCGAGCGUUGUCCGGAUUUAUUGGGUUUAAAGGGUGCGUAGGCGACUGAUUAAGUCAGCGGUGAAAGACUUCGGCUUAACCGGAGCAGUGCCGUUGAUACUGGUUGGCUUGAGUGUCGGAGGGGUACAUGGAAUUGAUGGUGUAGCGGUGAAAUGCAUAGAUACCAUCAGGAACACCGAUAGCGAAGGCAUUGUACUGGCCGACAACUGACGCUGAUGCACGAAAGUGUGGGGAUCGAACAGGAUUAGAUACCCCAGUAGUCC